rnacentral:lncRNA from 1 species
UAAAGCUGCCUCCUAUCACAUGCUCUUCAGGACAGGAUGAACACAUCCACCAAAAACCAUGUUUUCUUUGCAUCCUAACUGAAACAGCAUUAAAGGGGGAAAUGGGAAUUCAGCGCUGCCAGCUACAGUAUCUCUCCUAUCAGUUCACCAAUAAGGCCUGGUAGGGACCUGCCGAGCCUCUGGAUAAAUUGUAUUUUCCAAGGGUUAAUUAAGCUGUCUUGAGCUUCUGCAUGAAGAGGAACAAACUGGCACUUGCAGCGCUUUCUGAAACCUGCUGUCGACAUUACAGUCCCUGCUGCUUUUAGCUGUAUCGAUCCGAUGCCUGACCUGUGAAAUCCUUGAUGGCUGCUAACACUAGAAGCUUACUGGAGCUUUCCAAGGGAGCUUCGGGACAGCUUGUGUAGUCAGGAGUAGCAAGUUGGUGAAACCUAGAGAAUCGGCUUCUGAAAGCUUCAUUUCUAAAGCAUCAAGAAUAUUAUUCUCAUUGGAAAAUUGCUGCUGAUACCCAUCAAGUGCCUGCUUUCUUCUCCAACCAGAGCAUAAAGAGUCCAUGUUUUUACCCUCUGAGCGUGCCUGUCAUGAGAUGUUCUUCACAAAUCCUUAGAGACCAUAUUCUUCAGCUCCUGACCCAAUCUUGGUAAAUAUAUUCUAAAGUGCUUUAUUGAUGUCUAUUAUUCUUUAUACUUUUACUUAGUUGG